rnacentral:lncRNA from 1 species
CUAUAAAAGACUUGACGAAGCAUGAAGUCCUUUCAAGGUCUGGUACCUGCUUAUUUUUCCAUUCUCAUUCCCAUCCCUCCCCGUUACUCUGUUCCCUCUAGUGCUGCCAGAAGACCAUUGUUCCAAAAUCGCAUUAUAUUUUUUCAUGCCUGUAUGCUUUUCAAUGCUAUUCCUUUGUGAAUGACUACCCAUCCUUUAAGACCUAUCUCUGAGGUCACCUCUUCCUGGCAGCCUUUCCUGAUCAACCCAUCUGGGUUGGAUGCCCCUUCUCUAUUCUCUAUAAGCUCCCUGUGCAUUUCUGACUUAGCAUCAUCACACUGCAUUGAAGUGAUGUGUCCAGCUGCCUGUUUAUCCCUCUUGACUGUGACCUGGAAGCCAAAGACUGUCUCUGAUUCAUCCUUACAUCUGCAGCCCCCAGAACAGUACCUGACAUAAAAUUGAUGCUCAAUAAAUGUUUCCCGAAAGGUUAUAUUAAAACUUAUAAACUUUAUGAAUGAGAGAGGCCAUAAGGUUGAGAAAUAUCUGGUGCUUUGUGUUAACAUGGACGUUUCAGACAUUUUAGACCAAAAGACACAUUUUUAAUGGUCUCUCUACAGAGGAGUAGACCAAAAGAUUCCACGGGCCCUCUGAUCUCCCCCCUGCUCAGUAGAGAGAAUUGAAGGCAAUUCCCUGAGGAAAGCAUGUCUAGGAUACUGCUGAGGACUUUGCUUCAUUAAGAGGUGGUGAGCAUUGGUGUUGUUGAAGCCUCCCGGAAAUGAUUCUUCUCUAGACGUGAGAGACACCAUCAUGUAGGAAAUGUGAAUCUUUUACCCAUCUCUUCAGGACUCCCGAAGACAGAGAUGAGCCUUCUGUUCCCAGUGAUCACAGGGCCCCAGGAUGAAGCUAGCCUCAAGAUAAUAAAUCAGUAAAAGUACAAAGUUGGUAGAUAAAGGAAAAUGGUAUGCUUGAUGUCAUAUGUUUGAAGACUGUUAAAACAUUUGAGUCUUCCAAGAAGUUUGAUUUGCAGAAUUGGCUCAGAAUGCCUGGAAUAGAAGCACAUACCUGAUAAAAAAAAAAAGCUGGAUAAAUGCUGCUAAUUGGGCAAUAGAAAGUACUGGAACAAUGGGCUGUUGGGACAGCCUCAGGAGAGGUCUUCUAAGAGACUGCAGAGAUCAUCAGUUCCAACCCUCUCAGUUAAGAGUAAAGAAGCUCAAUCAAAAGGAGACAACGACUUCACAAAAGCAAGGCUAGAAAAAAGGUUACUUGACAAUUAGUUGUGCAGUGUGAGUGCUUGGUCUCCUCUUUACCUGGUGUCUCUAUUAUCUAGGAAAGGAAAUAGAUAUGGUCAAGUCUAGUUUUGAAAGGAUCCUAAAUACAGAGAUACAAUAAUCGGACCCUGGCCACCAAACCCCAUAUCAAUCAUGUCUUCUAAAGAGUGUGGGGCUUCAGACAAAGUGGAGAUGGGAGUUGAGAAACAAUUGGGAAGUUUUGCCACAGGCUGAGCUCCUGAGGUCCCUGUGAAGUUUUCCAGCCACUUUCAAGGGUAUUAAUUCAUUCUUGCUGUGAAGCACAUGUUGCCCAUUUUGCAGUGAGAAAAUGGCAAAACUCAGGGAGAUUUGGAGACUACUCCAAUGAAGCCUAAAGCCAGCAAGUACCAGAGUUGGGAUUAAAGCACAGGUCCUCUGAUUCCAGUUACUUCUAUCUCACUCAAAUUACACUUUGGUAAAAUUCUGUUUUAGGCCCAGACGUCCUUCCUGCCCCUCUAUCUCCCCAGAAGUCUCUCCUCUCUCUUGGCUGGGCCCUUAUACAGUUUCCAAACGCCUGGCAUUUCUAACUGUAAGGCCUUGCCCUCUCAGGAAUACUCCACGACCUUCUCCCAUUCCCUCCCCAUUCUUCCUCAAAACAAAUUGAUUUCUUUUCCUGUUUCUGCUCAGCUCUUAUAUAUAAACUUUGUCACCCUAAAAAGCAUAAACUUCCUAUAAACAAAUUUCCACUAUUGCCUCUACGGAUGAUCGUUUCACCUUCAGGAAAUCAUUGCACUUCCCAAGGCUGCUUCUUCAUUUAAAAAACAAAAACCAGCCAUGAUGUCUAGUUUGUGACUUACAUUGAAGGAACAUAUGUAAAUCCCAUCUAGUCAAUGCCUAACAUGGAGUGGAUGCUCAAUAUGUAUUUAUUAAGAGAAAUUUAGGCUGAGAUCUUUUCUUAAGGCACCUCUCCAUAGUUUUUCCUUUCUUAUGCAGAGCAAUGUAUUGCCCCCAAACCCAUAUCUAAACACCCCACUUUACCCAUUAAACAGGGGACCCUCCGGUUGUCAGGAUCUAGUCUUUUGAGUGGCUGGCAGUUUGAAGUUGGAGGUUGAUUGUUAAUAAAUGAUUUUGUUCCUUUCACACAUAAUUUUUUUUUCACUGUCAGAGAGUAAAAGAACUUUGCAACAGGCAGAUCUGGAAAGGGGAGUCAUUGAAGCAUAGGAAAAAAAUGGAAGCCCACCUUCAUUUCUUUUUCCUGCUAAAAAAUAGCUCAUUGGUCUUCAUUGGUCCAAGUUUUCUGCUCUGGGUGACUUCUGGGACAACACUGUUAAAUAAAACUCUUGAACUUACUAUUGUCUCUUUUUUUCUUUUUGUAACAACCCUAGAUGCAGUCUUAGUAGGAAAUACCUUGUUUACCAUCUGAUGACUGUAUUAUUAUUAUUAUUUUAGUUUAUUUAUUUUCUACAGAAGGAGCAUAGCAGCUAAAGAAAUACCUAUUUUGGCUGGAC